rnacentral:rRNA from 1 species
GAUGAACGCUGGCGGCGCGCCUAACACAUGCAAGUCGAACGAUUAAAGCACCUUCGGGUGUGUAUAAAGUGGCGAACGGCUGAGUAACACGUGGGCAACCUGCCCCUUUCAUUGGGAUAGCCACGGGAAACGGUGGAUAAUACCGAAUACUUCGAGACUUCCGCAUGGAAGACUCGAGAAAGCUCCGGCGGAGUGGGAUGGGACCGCGGCCUGUUAGCUUGUUGGGGGGGUAACGGCCUACCAAGGCAAUGCGGGAUAGCUGGGUUGAGAGCCCGACCAGCCAGCAUGGGCCUGCGACACGGCCCAGACUCCUACGGGAGGCAGCAGUGGGGAAUCUUGCACAGUGGGCGCAAGCCUGAUGAAGCGGCGCCGCGUGCGGGAUGAAGGCCUUCGGGUGGUAAACCGCUUUCAGCAGGGACGAGGCGAAAGUGACGGUACCUGCAGAAGAAGCCCCGGCUAACUACGUG